GACGAACGCUGGCGGCGUGCUUAACACAUGCAAGUCGAACGGAAAGGCCCUGCUUUUGUGGGGUGCUCGAGUGGCGAACGGGUGAGUAACACGUGAGUAACCUGCCCUUGACUUUGGGAUAACUUCAGGAAACUGGGGCUAAUACCGGAUAGGAGCUCCUGCUGCAUGGUGGGGGUUGGAAAGUUUCGGCGGUUGGGGAUGGACUCGCGGCUUAUCAGCUUGUUGGUGGGGUAGUGGCUUGCCAAGGCUUUGACGGGUAGCCGGCCUGAGAGGGUGACCGGCCACAUGGGGACUGAGAGACGGCGCAGACGCCUACGGGAGGCAGCAGUGGGGAAUAUUGCACAAUGGGCGGAAGCCUGAUGCAGCAACGCCGCGUGCGGGAUGACGGCCUUCGGGUUGUAAACCGCUUUCGCCUGUGACGAAGCGUGAGUGACGGUAAUGAGUAAAGAAGCACCGGCUAACUACGUG
rnacentral:rRNA from 1 species